GACGUAGGAUGCGAGCGUUACUCGGAAUCACUGGGCGUAAAGCGUCUGUAGGCGUCCCGCGAAGUCUGGUGUGAAAGUGCGGAGCUCAACUCCGUGAGCGUACUGGAAACUGGCGGGAUCGAGGUACUCAGAGGUGCCUGGAAUGCUGUGUGUAGGGGUAAAAUCCGUAGAUACACAGUGGAACGCUCAAAGCGAAGGCAGGGCACUGGGGGUAUUCUGACGCUGAGAGACGAAAGCGUGGGGAGCAAA
rnacentral:rRNA from 1 species